CGCCGCGCCGAUGCCACGUGGGAAGCGGCGGAGCCGCCGUCGGCGCCGGGCCGGAAUCGCGGCCCCCCUGACGCUGGGGACGGCCCUCGCCGGGCGCCGGGAGGAGGGGAGGUCGCGGAGCCCCCGGGACCGCGCCGGCAUCGCCGAGACCCGAUGGGUGCUCGGCGCGGUGGCGCCCGGCUCACGACUCGGCCUCCCGGGCCUAGAGGCGCUGGCGGCGGCGGCCGGGCCUAGGGGCGGCUCCCCGCCCUGGGCGGCGCCCUCGCUGCUCCAGGUGCCGGCGGCGGCCCAGCCGGCCCCGCGGCGGGACGGCAGCGACCUGCCCGCCGGUGCGCCGGCCGCCUUGGCCGUGCUGCACCUACAGCCCGGCGCCGAGGGCUCGGCGCGGGCGGCGGCGGCUGCGGGGGCCGCGCCGCGCCUGCGGACCGUCUACGUGAACCCGCGCUGGCUGGAGCGGCAGGCCGCGCUUGGGGCGGCGGCGGCUGCGGCCAGCCCCUGCGCCGAGGCGGUGGCGGCGGCGGCGGCGAGCGGCGCGUCUGCGGGCCCGGCGGCGGCAGCGGCGGCCGCGGCGGCGGGGCAGGGCGAGGCGGCGGCGGAGGCGGCGGCCACCCCCUACGUGGGGCUGCGGCGGCCGCUGGGCUACAAGCUGGCCAAGGCCACCAAGGAGCGGAUCUGGCGGGGGGAGUUCAUUGACCUCUUUUCCUUGCUCCACACAGAGCUGGCCCCCGAGCACGGCCCGCGCCCGGGGGACACGUUGGACCAGUGGGUCUCGGCCUUCUUGGUGUAUGCCAGCGUGCUGUGCGAGAAGCACCCUGCGCGCUGCGGAGCCAUGUUCAAGUACCUGGACACCAUCCGCAAGCUGCAUGCCACCUACGGGGGCACCUCGUGGAUGAACUACGAUGAGGACUUUCGGCGGCGGGCGGCCAAGGACCCCAACCUGCCCUGGGGCGACGUCGACCUCGACCUGUGGAUGAAGUGGAUGGCACCCCUCAAGUCGCUGGUCCACAGGCAGCCGCGUGCUGAGGUCGAGACACAGGCCUCGCCGGCACCGCCGCCACCACCACCAGCACCGUCACAGAGCCCCAAGCAGGAGGAGAAAAGCCAGACUCCGUGAAAACAGAAGGCCAGUUGGGAUGGCAGUCACACUAACUGGUCUGGUGAACACAGCAAGCAUGUCCUGAGGGCCAGCCAUGGGAUGAAGCAGCGUCUGACUGGAUUGCCUCUUCAGUCUUGACACCUUGUUCUGUGAAGCUGCUGCAAGAGUGAAUCUCCAGAACCAAGAAACAGGUGAGGAGGGCUGGUAGAGGUGUUUCCUCUCAAGUGCAGGAAAAGCGCAGUGAAUGCUGUUAAGCUUUCCUAAGUCUAGGAAAUGUUGGUUAUAGUUUUGGUCAUAGCUCUCAGUGGUGGAGGACCAGAAAAGGUAAACCUGUUUAUUCCUAUAGCUUGUGUUGCCUAGCAGUGUAUCACAGUACGCCCUGUAGGUUGAGUGGCAUGGCCAUGGGAUGAUUUGGCUGUGGUGGAGGAGAAAAUCACUUGACAAAACAUGUCCUGGUAAGAUGGCUGGCUGACUCUGUGGCUUAACCUGGCAAGCGACAAGAAAGUAAAGCAUAUUUUGCUUCUCUUUCAAAACGCUGAAGUGACUUUCUUGAGACGGGAUGUUGCCUUGAGAACAUGUGCCUGUUUGAUGUACUGUUUUAAAAAUAGCAAUGCAAAUACUAGGCCUGGUCAAGCAAGAGCCUGAAAGCUUUGAAAUGUUAGCUCUAGAUAGCUUCAUCUGUUAGUUUGCUUUGCUCAAAACUACUGGCAGUUAAAUUAACUUCUAUAUUGGUGUUUUGAUGCCUGUGAAGUUCCACCACAGGUUUCCAGUGGUUGGCAUUAUUGAUUAAUUUAUGAACAACAAGCAGAGGACCUAUUCUUCUAAUAUUUUGUGUGUCCUGUCCCGUCCCUGUCCCUCACCCCAUCUGUGGGAGAAAUAUCACUAUGAAAAGGAGAGCAAUUCAGACAUCAUGGUGAAGAGUUAUUUAGGAAGACAUGGAGAGUGCCAUUUACCUGAUCCUCUCCUCUCUGUUGCUGCACCCUUUGAAAACAGGCAGGACCACAGUCAGCAGUACCCUGCUAGGCCAGUGGAGUGAGCCCUUUAAGGCAGCUAAGGAUGGGAGAGUUGUCUUAAUAUUUGGUUAAUGACCUUCACUUAUGAUGUGAAUUUUAAGGAUUUGGGGGAAGUAGGAAACACAGCCACACCACACACUUGUACUUACACAGGAGUCCAGAAAAAGGAUUGAGUUUGGGUCUGGCUAUAGAUUCUCUGCUUUUCCGCCAUGCUUCUCUGCCAUGCCUGCUGUUGAGGCUUUGGCAGGAGGAAAGGGUCAGUUCACCACCCCUGUGUGCCAUGAGGCCUUGGAUGUGGUGCUGUGCCAGGGCUGCAUGAGGGUUGCCUGAGCUAAUCUUGCUCUGGCAGCUGAGGGCAGAAGCAGGAAUUUAGUUGAUGUCUAGAAAAGCUGAGUUUUACACACUUGUGUGUAAGCACUGGAAAUUGUGACUGCAGAGCUAGAGGGGGCUGGAGAAAACAUGGUCAAUAUUUGGGAAUAUUCUUUACUCAGAAACAUUUUUCAAGCAGUAAGGAAAUAGCGAAGUCUGUCAGACUUUGCUGCUUGUCAUGCUAAAGAGAGUCAGUACUGAGAGAAAUACUGUCAGAAAUUAUAAAGAUGCAUUCAUUGUACAGGUCAAAUUGUUGAGUGUGGCAUAUGAAUAUUUCACUGUGUUAUUUCGUAUUGCAGUUUAUACUCCAGUCUUUGUCCUGGAAUUACUGUUUUUCUUUCUUUUUUUUUUUUUUUUUGCUAAGUUUUCCCAGGGGGCAGUCAGUGGCAAUGCCCUGAGUAGAAACUCUUUAGAGCUCUCUGAGAUGUACUCAUUGUUUAUCUUCUGUGUGCGUUACUUUGGUUUUAUGUAGGCUGGAUUUUACCUACUGUUGUUCUGUGUAGUCUGACAGGGUUCCCUUGCAAUUUCUCAGCAUUUCCUUUAAAUAUACACUAUUCAGCCUGCAGAAUUUUCAAGUAUGCCAGUAUCUCUUCUAAUAUCUUCUGGGUGAAGAUGCUUUCAACAUCUCUAAAUACUUCUGCUAGAUAGUGGGCAAGAGUAGCUCGACUCCUGUUUCCUCGAGUUUAUUUUGUUCCUGUCAGGUCUUUUGUCCUCUGAGACAUGGUGCUGUUCUUUACAGUACAAGCUUCUACUUCCCAUGUUUCUUAUGUAAAACUUAGCCACCUGACCUUAUAUUCAGCAUUGUGCCCAAAAAAUCUCUCAACCCAUUUUGUUUAAAGUCAAGCUUCUCCUACUGCAACUAUAUAAAAAUUACUCCAAUAUUUUCUCAACAGAUGGGCCCCUUAUGUUCAGCAUCACACUUGUGUACAUUUAUCAUUGCAUUUAUUUAUAAAAGUAUUCCCAGUUGAGUGUUUUCAUUGUUGAAGAUGUUAUUUUAACAAGUUGCAGUCAGAAAAAUUGUUUGUUUGUUUUUCCCAGAAAACUGCAAUUUCUAUAAAACAGAAAUGGUACUGAAAACCCAUCUCAAUUAUUUUAAGAUUUUUUGUUUCUUUUUACUCCGUGAAAGGAAUAUGGAUUAAUCUAGGACUUUGCACAGAAAUUUCUCUAGCUUUACUGCAAAGCUUUACUGCAUGACUGGUCUUCUCAUGCAACUUUUUAAUGCAUAAAGGUGUGUGUGUCUUGGCUUUUACAUUAAUGGAGAUGGCCUGAAAUACUUUUACUUAGAGGAUAACCAAUUUGAUGUGAACCAAUUUCUAGGACUAUAUUUGUAGCACUAUCUUUAGUUUCUAUUUUGGGGGUCUGGCUUGGAGCCAGACUUUUUUUGUUAACUUGGACUUUUUCUGGCACAAUGUAAAAAUGGCUGUUUUAUUAUUCCCAACAUUUUGCAAAAUCUCCCUUCAGAGUAGACUUUUCUAAAUUAACCAACACUUCUGCAGCUGUUUUCUACUUCUUACAAAACGACAGCUGAAAGGAGCAAUUAAAAAGCUGGAUUGCUGCUUUAAACUUGAAAUUUAAUCUGUAUUUAACACAAAUAAGCUCCCAUAUCAAGGUUGUUUGAUGCAGCCAUUUGCCUUGUCAAUGUUAAUCAUAUUUUUGUGUGUGCAUGGACCGUAGGAUCUGGCACUUAGGGAUUUAGAAAUGAUGGGCUCUCAUGCAAGUGAUUCCAGAUGGUUGGAUUUUUCCUUUGGACACUGUCCUGGCCCUUCCCUAGACAUAGCUUGUACAACCAGCCCACGAUCGCAAAAUAGUCUUCUGGGAGCAUUUGGUAUAGCUAGGCUGUAUCGUGCUGCACUGAGUUUCUCUCAUCCAGACUUGCAAGCAGAAUAUUACUAAGCCUUCCCAAUAAAAAUACAAAAAGAAACACCUGAAAAAUCCCUGGAGGUGCAGACAAGAAGCCAGGGAGAGAAUGCUGAACCUGAGGCACGUGUCUGUGGCACUGGCGUGGCAGACUCCCUGCAGUGUCGCUAUCACUAUGGGGGCAGAUGCUUGGUGUGGAGACAGCUGGGCUGAUCCUGGUGUUAGGUACCACAGAGCUGCGGCAGCAUCCCAGUGAUGUAGGUCCGGUGAGCUCAAAUCCCUGCACAGCACUUAAACUGCUUGCUAUAAACAGUAUCCCCAGCAAGACAGAAACAAGAAGGAGGUGAACUGCUGCUCACCUGUCGCUUUUGGACAGGGCAGGUGUCCACCUCUGUGGUACGAGCUACAGAGCCAGGACCUGACUCACAAAGCAGCAUACGAGAGUGCUGGAUCCAAGCCACACCAGUCAGACCUGCGGCUAUGAUCAGACCUGCAUGUAGCCAAGUUUAAUGCUCUCAGCUGCUGUACAGGAGGCCAAAGCAUUGUGCCUGGCUACCUUUAUUCCUCUUUCCCCCAAAAUAUAAAGCUAAGUUUACAUAAAUACACAAAACCCACAUAUGUAAAUAUAAUGCGAAUUUUACUUUUCAAGUCUUAAAUUAAUGGUCUAAGAACAAAUAAAUAAGUAAAUGGUCACAUGUGUCUGUUUCAUUCAAAGCCACAUUUGCAAUUCAGAAAUGUCUCUUGGAGCUGCCAGAAUUUUUCCAGCUUUCAAGGAGGGAGAAAAUCUUCUGUUCGGAAGUCAGCUGCCUUGGGUGCUGCACUACAAGUAGCUGUGGAUGUGCUGCACCCACUAACUGCAACAGCAGCUUGGCUGAAAUUCAAGGGGGUAAGGGGACAGCUACUGUCUGAACAGUGCACCACAGAGCUUGUAAUGUAAAGUCAAGGCACCUCUUGUUGGACCAGCCUAGGUAAGCGGAGUGAGGGCAGAAAACCAGAUCACAAGUGGUUAGUAAAACACAGUGUUUUUUGCUUGCUCUCUUGGUGCACAUCAUUCUUGUAUCCCAGGAAAAUAUUUUUCCCACCAUCAGAAAAAUAUUUGUCUUGUUUUAAAAGAGGAUGCAUCCUCACAUGCACUAAGCUUCAGUAUAAACUUUUCUUUCCUGGGCAAUAAAAGUUCUCAUUGUCCUCCUGAGGCACUGAUAGUUUUCUCAUUUAUUGCUUUUAGAUCUCCCAGCAGACUACAGAGCAAAUAGCAACUGAGUACUUUGAUUUUUACCAACUUUUAGAAGAUGGUAUGUUUUCAUAAGACAAAAAUUAUUACACAUAUUGUCCUUCUGGCUGGAGAAAUUAGUUCUAACACAGUGCAGAGCUUUAAGGGGGAGAAUUCAUUCUGGGGACAGCCAUGUGUCCUGGGAAAAAGAUGGGAAGAGAUAAACAAAAUAAA